rnacentral:rRNA from 1 species
GCUCGCUGCUUUUCUGUCUUGGCGGGGGGGGGGGGUCGCCUCACUUUGAUCAACUCAGUACUCGCCAGCAUCCCAAGUUAUAACAUGACUUGCUUUCCAUGGCCCAAGGAGUAUAUUGCAAAACUCGAAAGUUUGCUCCGUGCUUUCUUCUCGCAAGGCAAGAACUCUGUCAAGGGUGGUCAAUGUUUGGUUGCAUGGGAUUAUGUUCCUAUGCCUAGAGACGCCGGCGAGCUGGGAGUUCGGAACCUCGCAACACACAAUCAUGCGUUGUUAUGCAAGUUCACCGCCAGGGUUUUACGAAGCUCCGAUGUCCCCUGCUAUCAGUGGUUCGCCCAUCAAUACUGCUCUAUUCGCAUUCCACACGGCUCAGCCAACAAAGACACCGCUAUUUGGAAGGGCUUCAAGGAAUGCAUCUCCCUGGUUACAGCCUCGACGUUUUGCUCCCUCGAUGAAGGCAAGAUGAUCUCGUUCUGGCAUGUCAAGUGGCUAGGGGUUGGC